GGAUUCUGAAGGUGUUUUUGAUGCUUUCUUAACGCCGUUAACCUCGAUGCACUUUUUCGCUCGAAACAAAACGGCAAGAAAAUCAUGCGCGCCCCACGGCCUUACACUUGGAUUGGCCGCGAAAAGGAUAUAUAGAAACAAGAGUGAUGUACUGUCGGGUGCGAUCAUACCAGCACUAAUGCACCGGAUCCCAUCAGAACUCCGCAGUUAAGCGUGCUUGGGCGAGAGUAGUACUAGGAUGGGUGACCUCCCGGGAAGUCCUCGUGUUGCACCCCUUUUUUUUUUUAAUUUUUUUUUGCCUAAAACGAGUCUAAACUGAAAACCCAUAACUUUUGAACCGUGAGGAACUACGUCGCCCAUAGCACCAUUUCGGAAGAGCCCCAGAAACCAUAAUGGGCGGUGAAUAGGGGGCGCAAUUUUUCGGGCUCAAAUUCAGCCGUUUUGACCCUCAAACGGGCUGCGGAAAGUUAUGGCACGUAAAAAAGAUCGAAAGCGGAUUCUCAAGGUGUUUUUGAUGCUUUCUUAACGCCGUUAACCUCGAUGCACUUUUUUUCGCUCGAAACAAAACGGCAAGAAAAUCAUGCGCGCCCCACGGCCUUACACUUGGAUUGGCCGCGAAAAGGAUAUAUAGAAACGAGAGUGAUGUACUGACGGGUGCGAUCAUACCAGCACUAAUGCACCGGAUCCCAUCAGAACUCCGCAGUCAAGCGUGCUUGGGCGAGAGUAGUACUAGGAUGGGUGACCUCCCGGGAAGUCCUCGUGUUGCACCCCUUUUUAUUUUUUUAAUUUUUUUUUAGCCUAAAACGAGUCUAAACUUGAAAACCUCAUAACUUUUGAACCGUGAGGAACUACGUCGCCCAUAGCACCAUUUCGGAGAGCCCCAGAAACCAUAAUGGGCGGUGAAUAGGGGGCGCAAUUUUUCGGGCUCAAAUUCAGCCGUUUUGACCCUCAAACGGGCUGCGGAAAGUUAUGGCACGUAAAAAAGAUCGAAAGCGGAUUCUCAAGUGUUUUUGAUGCUUUCUUAACGCCGUUAACCUCGAUGCACUUUUUCGCUCGAAACAAAACGGCAAGAAAAUCAUGCGCGCCCCACGGCCUUACACUUGGAUUGGCGCGAAAAGGAUAUAUAGAAACGAGAGUGAUGUACUGACGGGUGCGAUCAUACCAGCACUAAUGCACCGGAUCCCAUCAGAACUCCGCAGUUAAGCGUGCUUGGGCGAGAGUAGUACUAGGAUGGGUGACCUCCCGGGAAGUCCUCGUGUGUUGCACCCCUUUUUAUUUUUAAUUUUUUUUAGCCUAAAACGAGUCUAAACUUGAAAACCUCAUAACUUUUGAACCGUGAGGAACUACGUCGCCCAUAGCACCAUUUCGGAAAGCCCCAGAAACCAUAAUGGGCGGUGAAUAGGGGGCGCAAUUUUUCGGGCUCAAAUUCAGCCGUUUUGACCCUCAAACGGGCUGCGGAAAGUUAUGGCACGUAAAAAAGAUCGAAAGCGGAUUCUCAAGGUGUUUUUGAUGCUUUCUUAACGCCGUUAACCUCGAUGCACUUUUUCGCUCGAAACAAAACGGCAAGAAAAUCAUGCGCGCCCACGGCCUUACACUUGGAUUGGCCGCGAAAAGGAUAUAUAGAAAGAAACGAGUGAUGUACUGACGGGUGCGAUCAUACCAGCACUAAUGCACCGGAUCCCAUCAGAACUCCGCAGUUAAGCGUGCUUGGGCGAGAGUAGUACUAGGAUGGGUGACCUCCCGGGAAGUCCUCGUGUUGCACCCCUUUUUAUUUUUUAAUUUUUUUUUAGCCUAAACGAGUCUAAACUUGAAAACCUCAUAACUUUUGAACCGUGAGGAACUACGUCGCCCAUAGCACCAUUUCGGAAAGCCCCAGAAACCAUAAUGGGCGGGUGAAUAGGGGGCGCAAUUUUUCGGGCUCAAAUUCAGCCGUUUUGACCCUCAAACGGGCUGCGGAAAGUUAUGGCACGUAAAAAAGAUCGAAAGCGGAUUCUCAAGGUGUUUUGAUGCUUUCUUAACGCCGUUAACCUCGAUGCACUUUUUCGCUCGAAACAAACGGCAAGAAAAUCAUGCGCGCCCCACGGCCUUACACUUGGAUUGGCCGCGAAAAGGAUAUAUAGAAACGAGAGUGAUGUACUGACGGGUGCGAUCAUACCAGCACUAAUGCACCGGAUCCAUCAGAACUCCGCAGUUAAGCGUGCUUGGGCGAGAGUAGUACUAGGAUGGGUGACCUCCCGGGAAGUCCUCGUGUUGCACCCCUUUUUAUUUUUUAAUUUUUUUUUAGCCUAAAACGAGUCUAAACUUGAAAACCCCAUAACUUUUGAACCGUGAGGAACUACGUCGCCCAUAGCACCAUUUCGGAAAGCCCCAGAAACCAUAAUGGGCGGUGAAUAGGGGGCGCAAUUUUUCGGGCUCAAAUUCAGCCGUUUUGACCCUCAAACGGGCUGCGGAAAGUUAUGGCAGAAAAAAAAAGACCGAAAGCGGAUUUUCAAGGUGUUUUUGAUGCUUUCUUAACGCCGUUAACCUCGAUGCACUUUUUCGCUCGAAACAAAACGGCAAGAAAAUCAUGCGCGCCCCACGGCCUUACACUUGGAUUGGCCGCGAAAAGGAUAUAUAGAAACGAGAGUGAUGUACUGUCGGGUGCGAUCAUACCAGCACUAAUGCACCGGAUCCCAUCAGAACUCCGCAGUUAAGCGUGCUUGGGCGAGAGUAGUACUAGGAUGGGUGACCUCCCGGGAAGUCCUCGUGUUGCACCCCUUUUUAUUUUUUAAUUUUUUUAGCCUAAAACGAGUCUAAACUUGAAAACCUCAUAACUUUUGAACCGUGAGGAACUACGUCGCCCAUAGCACCAUUUCGGAAAGCCCCAGAAACCAUAAUGGGCGGUGAAUAGGGGGCGCAAUUUUCGGGCUCAAAUUCAGCCGUUUUGACCCUCAAACGGGCUGCGGAAAGUUAUGGCACGUAAAAAAGAUCGAAAGCGGAUUCUCAAGGUGUUUUUAAUGCUUUCUUAACGCCGUUAACCUCGAUGCACUUUUUCGCUCGAAACAAAACGGCAAGAAAUCAUGCGCGCCCCACGGCCUUACACUUGGAUUGGCCGCGAAAAGGAUAUAUAGAAACGAGAGUGAUGUACUGACGGGUGCGAUCAUACCAGCACUAAUGCACCGGAUCCCAUCAGAACUCCGCAGUUAAGCGUGCUUGGGCGAGAGUAGUAGUACUAGGAUGGGUGACCUCCCGGGAAGUCCUCGUGUUGCACCCCUUUUAUUUUUUAAUUUUUUUUUGCCUAAAACGAGUCUAAACUUGAAAAACCUCAUAACUUUUGAACCGUGAGGAACUACGUCGCCCAUAGCACCAUUUCGGAAAGCCCCAGAAACCAUAAUGGGCGGUGAGGUGAAUAGGGGGCGCAAUUUUUCGGGCUCAAAUUCAGCCGUUUGACCCUCAAACGGGCUGCGGGCGGAAAGUUAUGGCACGUAAAAAAGAUCGAAAGCGGAUUCUCAAGGUGUUUUUGAUGCUUUCUAACGCCGUUAACCUCGAUGCACUUUUUCGCUCGAAACAAAACGGCAAGAAAAUCAUGCGGCCCCACGGCCUUACACUUGGAUUGGCCGCGAAAAGGAUAUAUAGAAACGAGAGUGAUGUACUGACGGGUGCGAUCAUACCAGCACUAAUGCACGGAUCCCAUCAGAACUCCGCAGUUAAGCGUGCUUGGGCGAGAGUAGUACUAGGAUGGGGACCUCCCGGGAAGUCCUCGUGUUGCACCCCUUUUUAUUUUUUAAUUUUUUUUUAGCCUAAAACGAGUCUAAACUUGAAAACCUCAUAACUUUUGAACCGUGAGGAACUACGUCGCCCAUAGCACCAUUUCGGAAAGCCCCAGAAACCAUAAUGGCGGGUGAUGAAGGGGCGCAAUUUUCGGGCUCAAAUUCAGCCGUUUUGACCCUCAAACGGGCUGCGGAAAGUUAUGGCACGUAAAAAAGAUCGAAAGCGGAUUCUCAAGGUGUUUUUGAUGCUUUCUUAACGCCGUUAACCUCGAUGCACUUUUUCGCUCGAAACAAAACGGCAAGAAAAUCAUGCGCGCCCCCACGGCCUUACACUUGGAUUGGCCGCGCGAAAAGGAUAUAUAGAAACGAGAGUGAUGUACUGUCGGGUGCGAUCAUACCAGCACUAAUGCACCGGAUCCCAUCAGAACUCCGCAGUUAAGCGUGCUUGGGCGAGAGUAGUACUAGGAUGGGUGACCUCCCGGGAAGUCCUCGUGUUGCACCCCUUUUUAUUUUUUAAUUUUUUUUAGCCUAAAACGAGUAUAAACUUGAAAACCUGAAACUUUUGAACCGUGAGGAACUACGUCGCCCAUAGCACCAUUUCGGAGAGCCCCAGAAACCAUAAUGGGCGGUGAAUAGGGGGCGCAAUUUUUCGGGCUCAAAUUCAGCCGUUUUGACCCUCAAACGGGCUGCGGAAAGUUAUGGCACGUAAAAAAGAUCGAAAGCGGAUUCUCAAGGUGUUUUUGAUGCUUUCUUAACGCCGUUAACCUCGAUGCACUUUUUCGCUCGAAACAAAACGGCAAAAAAAAUCAUGUGGGCCCCACGGCCUUACACUUGGAUUGGCCGGGGAAAGGAUAUAUAGAAACGAGAGUGAUGUACUGACGGGUGCGAUCAUACCAGCACUAAUGCACCGGAUCCCAUCAGAACUCCGCAGUGAAGCGUGCUUGGGCGAGAGUAGUAUUAGGAUGGGUGACCUCCCGGGAAGUCCUCGUGUUGCACCCCUUUUUAUUUUAUAAUUUUUUUUUAGCCUAAAACGAGUCUAAACUUGAAAACCUCAUAACUUUUGAACCGUGAGGAACUACGUCGCCCAUAGCACCAUUUCGGAAAGCCCCAGAAACCAUAAUGGUGGUGCGGUGAAUAGGGGGCAAUCGCAAUUUUUCGGGCUCAAAUUCAGCCGUUUUGACCCUCAAACGGGCUGCGGAAAGUUAUGGCACGUAAAAAAGAUCGAAAGCGGAUUCUCAAGGUGUUUUUGAUGCUUUCUUAACGCCGUUAACCUCGAUGCACUUUUUCGCUCGAAACAAAACGGCAAGAAAAUCAUGCGCGCCCCCACGGCCUUACACUUGGAUUGGCCGCGAAAAGGAUAUAUAGAAACGAGAGUGAUGUACUGACGGGUGCGAUCAUACCAGCACUAAUGCACCGGAUCCCAUCAGAACUCAGCAGUUAAGCGUGCUUGGGCGAGAGUAGUACUAGGAUGGGUGACCUCCCGGGAAGUCCUGUGUGCACCCCUUUUAUUUUUUAAUUUUUUUUUAGCCUAAAACGAGUCUAAACUUGAAAACCUCAUAACUUUUGAACCGUGAGGAACUACGUCGCCCAUAGCACCAUUUCGGAAAGCCCCAGAAACCAUAAUGGGGUGAAUAGGGGGCGCAAUUUUCGGGCUCAAAUUCAGCCGUUUUGACCCUCAAACGGGCUGCGGAAAGUUAUGGCACGUAAAAAGAUCGAAAGCGGAUUCUCAAGGUGUUUUUGAUGCUUUCUUAACGCCGUUAACCUCGAUGCACUUUUCGCUCGAAACAAAACGGCAAGAAAAAUCAUGCGCGCCCCACGGCCUUACACUUGGAUUGGCCGCGAAAAGGAUAUAUAGAAACGAGAGUGAUGUACUGACGGGUGCGAUCAUACCAGCACUAAUGCACGGAUCCCAUCAGAACUCCGCAGUGAAAGCGUGCUUGGGCGAGAGUAGUACUAGGAUGGGUGACCUCCCGGGAAGUCCUCGUGUUGCACCCCUUUUUAUUUUUAAAUUUUUUUUUAGCCUAAAACGAGUCUAAACUUGAAAACCUCAUAACUUUUGAACCGUGAGGAACUACGUCGCCCAUAGCACCAUUUCCGGAGAGCCCCAGAAACCAUAAUGGGCGGUGAAUAGGGGGCGCAAUUUUUCGGGCUCAAAUUCAGCCGUUUUGACCCUCAAACGGGCUGCGGAAAGUUAUGGCACGUAAAAAAGAUCGAAAGCGGAUUCUCAAGGUGUUUUGAUGCUUUCUUAACGCCGUUAACCUCGAUGCACUUUUUCGCUUCGAAACAAAACGGCAAGAAAAUCAUGCGCGCCCCACGGCCUUACACUUGGAUUGGCCGCGAAAAGGAUAUAUAGAAACGAGAGUGAUGUACUGACGGGUGCGAUCAUAUACCAGCACUAAUGCACCGGAUCCCAUCAGAACUCCGCAGUUAAGCGUGCUUGGGCGAGAGUAGUACUAGGAUGGGUGACCUCCCGGGAAGUCCUCGUGUUGCACCCCUUUUAUUUUUUAAUUUUUUUUUGCCUAAAACGAGUCUAAACUUGAAAACCUCAUAACUUUUGAACCGUGAGGAACUACGUCGCCCAUAGCACCAUUUCGGAGAAGCCCCAGAAACCAUAAUGGGCGGUGAAUAGGGGGCGCAAUUUUUCGGGCUCAAUUCAGCCGUUUUGACCCUCAAACGGGCUGCGGAAAGUUAUGGCACGUAAAAAAAGAUCGAAAGCGGAUUCUCAAGGUGUUUUUGAUGCUUUCUUAACGCCGUAACCUCGAUGCACUUUUUCGCUCGAACAAAACGGCAAGAAAAUCAUGCGCGCCCCACGGCCUUACACUUGGAUUGGCCGCGAAAAGGAUAUAUAGAAACGAGAGUGAUGUACUGACGGGUGCGAUCAUACCAGCACUAAUGUACCGGAUCCCAUCAGAACUCCGCAGUUAAGCGCGCUUGGGCGAGAGUAGUAUUAGGAUGGGUGACCUCCCGGGAAGUCUUCGUGUUGCACCCCUUUUUAUUUUAUAAUUUUUUUAGCCUAAAACGAGUCUAAACUUGAAAACCUCAUAAAUUUUGAACCGUGAGGAACUACGUCGCCCAUAGCACCAUUUCGGAAAGUCCCAGAAACCAUAAUGGGCGGUGAAUAGGGGGCGCAAUUUUUCGGGCUGAAAUUCAGCCGUUUUGACCCUCAAACGGGCUGCGGAAAGUUAUGGCACGUAAAAAGAUCGAAAGCGGAUUCUCAAUGGUUUUUGAUGCUUUCUUAACGCCGUUAACCUCGAUGCACUUUUUCGCUCGAAACAAAACGGCAAGAAAAUCAUGCGCCCCCACGGCCUUACACUUGGAUUGGCCGCGAAAAGGAUAUAUAGAAACGAGAGUGAUGUACUGACGGGUGCGAUCAUACCAGCACUAAUGCACCGGAUCCCAUCAGAACUCCGCAGUUAAGCGUGCUUGGGCGAGAGUAGUACUAGGAUGGGUGACCUCCCGGGAAGUCCUCGUGUUGCACCCCUUUUUAUUUUUUAAUUUUUUUUUGCCUAAAACGAGUCUAAAACUUGAAAACCUCAUAACUUUUGAACCGUGAGGAACUACGUCGCCCAUAAGCACCAUUUCGGAAAGCCCCAGAAACCAUAAUGGCGGGAAUGCGGUGAAUAGGGGGCGCAAUUUUUCGGGCUCAAAUUCAGCCGUUUUGACCCUCAGACGGGCUGCGGAAAGUUAUGGCACGUAAAAAAGAUCGAAAGCGGAUUCUCAAGGUGUUUUUGAUGCUUUCUUAACGCCGUUAACCUCGAUGCACUUUUUUGCUCGAAACAAAACGGCAAGAAAAUCAUGCGCGCCCCACGGCCUUACACUUGGAUUGGCUGCGAAAAGGAUAUAUAGAAACGAGAGUGAUGUACUGUCGGCUGCGAUCAUACCAGCACUAAUGCACCGGAUCCCAUCAGAACUCCGCAGUGAAGCGUGCUUGGGCGAGAGUAGUACUAGGAUGGGUGACCUCCCGGGAAGUCCUCGUGUUGCACCCCUUUUUAUUUUUUAAUUUUUUUUUAGCCUAAAACGAGUCUAAACUUGAAAACCC
rnacentral:lncRNA from 1 species